UACAGAGGGGGCAAGCGUUGUUCGGAAUUACUGGGCGUAAAGGGCGCGUAGGCGGCGUGUUAAGUCACUUGUGAAAUCUCUAAGCUUAACUUAGAACGGUCAAGUGAUACUGAUGUGCUAGAGUGCAGAAGGGGCAACCGGAAUUCUUGGUGUAGCGGUGAAAUGCGUAGAUAUCAAGAGGAACACCUGAGGUGAAGACGGGUUGCUGGGCUGACACUGACGCUGAGGCGCGAAAGCUAGGGUAGCAAACGGG
rnacentral:rRNA from 1 species